rnacentral:rRNA from 1 species
ACGGCGAAGUGAAGCGGCAAUAGCUCAAAUUUGAAAUCUGGCCUCUCGGGGUCCGAGUUGUAAUUUGUAGAGGAUGUUUUGGGUACCGCCCCGGUUUAAAUUUCUUGGAACAGAAUGUCAAAGAGGGUGAGAAUCCCGUCUUGGAUCGGUGGUAGGGCCUAUGUAAAACUCCUUCGACGAGUCGAGUUGUUUGGGAAUGCAGCUCAAAUUGGGUGGUAAAUUUCAUCUAAAGCUAAAUAUUGGCCAGAGACCGAUAGCGCACAAGUAGAGUGAUCGAAAGAUGAAAAGCACUUUGAAAAGAGAGUUAAACAGUAUGUGAAAUUGUUGAAAGGGAAGCGCUUGCAACCAGACUUGAGCGCGGCGGUUCCCCUCGCCUUUUGGCGAGGCUACUCCGUCGUGUCCAGGCCAACAUCGGUUCUGAGGGUCGGUUAAAGGCUCUGGGAAUGUACCUACCCACGGGUAGACUUAUAGACCAGGGUGUCAUGCGACCUCCCGGGACCGAGGAACGCGCUUCGGCUCGGAUGUUGGCGUAAUGGUUGUCAGCGACCCGUCUUGAAACACGGACCAAGGAGUCUAACAUCUAUGCGAGUGUUUGGGUGUCAAACCCGGAACGCGAAAUGAAAGUGAACGGAGGUAGGAAGCUUCGGCUGCACUAUCGACCGAUCCUGAAGUUUACGGAUGGAUUUGAGUAAGAGCAUAGCUGUUGGGACCCGAAAGAUGGUGAACUAUGCCUGAAUAGGGUGAAGCCAGAGGAAACUCUGGUGGAGGCUCGCAGCGGUUCUGACGUGCAAAUCGAUCGUCAAAUUUGGGUAUAGGGGCGAAAGACUAAUCGAACCAUUGGAAAACAGCCACUCGGUGGUUAAGUGUGACCCGAAAGGGUUCGCAAGUGCCAAAUUCUGGCGCGACACUGUCAAAUUGCGGGGACUCCCUAAAGCUCUAGCGACCGCCGACCCCAUGAAAAUGGGGUUCACGGCACCAGGUUAACGGCCUCGGGUAUGGUAAUACUGCUAGAGAUGGAACAAUGGGUAAUCUGCAGCCAAGUCCUACGGGCUCUCGCCUAUGGAUGCAGUUCACAGACUAGAUGGCAGUGGGCUCGGAGAGCUUAAGAUAUAGUCGGUCCUCUGGGGAGACCCAGGCGCAUCGCUAAACUAGAGGUGAAGAAUUCUGCCCUGAGCAGUCGCCUCGAGCCUGAACGGUGCGGACACCC